CGCAGGAGGUGGGUUGGAGUUGCCUCGGUAACGUUCGUGCUGCCGCAGGGACAUUCCUGGUCCCUAAACCAGGAAAAACAGCCCUGGCUCUGCAGGAGGACGAGGGCUAUUCGGAGUCUCCAGACCUGGAGUUUGAAUAUGCAGACACGGAUAAAUGGGCAGCAGAGCUGUCAGAGCUUUACAGCUACACAGAGGGGCCAGAAUUCCUGCUCAACCGAAAGUGCUUUGAGGAGGACUUCAGGAUCCACA